GCAACUGUGGCCUACUGGUUAGCGCUUCGGACUUGUAACCGAGUUGCCGGUUCGAACCCCGACCAGUAGGCA
rnacentral:tRNA from 1 species